GACUGGUGCAACAUACUGGGGCCCAACUGGAGAAUCAAGACGUGGCGCCGUUGUAACGGACUGCUGGGCAAGUCGGAACAAUGUUGCAACUAAACGCGCUUGCCGCGCACAGCGUUGCUGAACGACACCGGUCAACGUUACACGCGACGAUUUUACCAUUACCGUUUUUCACCGUAUUGUACGAAAACUUUGCUACCCAAAAAUUCUGUUACAUUUUAAAACCAAUGACAAUAUUAUUACCUACUCGUUACAGACGAUUAUUUGCGAACGGUGUACAUUUUUACCGCCACGGAAAUAAACGCCGG